rnacentral:rRNA from 1 species
UACGGGGGGGGUAAGCGUUGUUCGGAAUUACUGGGCGUAAAGGGCUCGUAGGCGGCCAACUAAGUCAUACGUGAAAUCCCUCAGCUUAACUGGGGAACUGCGUGUGAUACUGGAUGGCUUGGAUUUGGGAGAGGGAUGCGGAAUUCCAGGUGUAGCGGUGAAAUGCGUAGAUAUCGUUUGGAACGCCAAAGGUGAAAACAGACAGCUGGGAGUGUGCUGACGCUGAGACACGAAAGCCAGGGGAGCGAACGGG